UAUCUGCUUCGUCAGGCCUGGAGCUGAUCCGUGCUGGUCACUGAGGAAAUACAUCAACUUCGUGCUGUGGAUCGCAGCAUUGGCUUUCACUGUGGCCGAAGCAGAGUCCAGCCUGGGGUCAUCACAUGUGUCCUUCGUCGAAUCUGCAGGCCGUUCCUCACUCAAACCUGUGAUGCUGUGUGACGCAUUUUAUGGAGGACUGUUUCCUGAGUUUGCAGAGUAGCCUACAAUGGAUCUGUGCUCAAAGGCUGGUUUAAUAAAGAUGGGCAGUUCAGACGUUGCCGGGACGGUCUGGCGCUUCUGACUCACAGCCUUUAAAAGGAGGAAAACCGAAAGCAAAUCUUCAGCCGCCUCGGGGAAGAUCAAACAUGGGAGCGAAGAGAUGUGAAAGUGAGGAAGUCAAAAUCAAGAAGAAAACUGGUGACAGAUGUUGCAGAGGAAGCCCCUGUACCAGAUCUGCUGGGCAGCAUCCUCAGUGGUCAAAGCAUGCUCCUCAUGGACAGAUCAGAUGUGGUCAUCAACAGAGACGGUUCCCUUAAAGCAACUAAACCUGGUCUUAGUUUGGAGAUUUUUGUAUCAAUUCUUUACUACUGGUAACUCGAGCAAUGCAUGUUGUUAUUUAUCCUUAACCCGCUGGAGUCUGGGUAUUUUUGGGGCCUGGAGAAGUUUUGUCAUGCCAUGACAUUUGUGUUUUUUUCAGUUUCUUAUAAAUAUCUAAAUGGGUAAAGUCUAGUCUCACUGUAAUCAUCACAAACUGGGCUAUAAUAAUAUGUGAGCAUCAUGUAUGUACAUGAUUGUGUUUUUGAGAAAAAAAAAAUGUUAUGCGUGAUUAGUGAAAAACUAAAAAUGUUAAAUCACUUGAAUAAGGCCAUAAAACACAUACAUAACAUUGGUUCCCGGGAUUUUUGAGAACUGGAGCUUGUAGCCUAGAAUUUUUCUUUAUAAAUUAUGUGAAAAUCAUCUUGUUUACUCACUCACAGAAAACAAUAUAUUUAUUUAAAUUGUCCAAGACACUUUUUGUUGGUAAGUCAUAUGCGAGUAGGCGUCAACUAUAAUGAAUAUCAUUGUGAUUUACACCUGAGAAGACAAAGGCCUGCACAAUGAGCCGCAUAUUGAGCUGCAUAAUGAAUCUUUCAGUCAGGUGUGUGACUGAGAGGGAAGAUUAACAAGAAAGAA